GCAAAUGGAGGUGGGAAGAAAGGGAGAGAAAGAAACCUAAGCUUGGGCUGGAGAGAUGGCUCAGCCGUUAAAGGCUAGGCUCACAACCAAAAAAUA
rnacentral:miRNA from 1 species